rnacentral:misc_RNA from 1 species
CGUCGGGAUGUGCCAUCACUU